CUUGAGUGCGAAUAUUUGAGUUUUUUAUAUAUAUAUGUAUAUAUUUCUUUGAUUUUUUUUUACGGUUUUUAUCUACGAAGAGGUCCUGGAUUCGCCAAUGCAAGAAGGUUGCGCAAAUCUUUCGCCAGUGUUGAUAACAGAGAGAAAACGGAGACUUCGACGCCACAGCAAGGAGUGAUCCGACAGCCUUCCCUUCGCCCUUUCGGGAAUCGGAGAUCGGAGAGAGUGACGCCGAAAGGACGGACUAGCGCCGUCACGCCCUGAAGCCGAUUCGAAUAUGAAUAGAUGAAACUAGAACAUAAAUCGUGAUGAAGUGAUGAAUAGGAGAAAAUAAUAACCGAGGAAAAGAAGAGAAAACAAGAUACAGAAAAUCAAUAGAGUAAUAGAAGUGAUUAUAGAAGAAGUGAAUUAGAAAAGAAAAAGAAAGAAGAAGAAAAGAAAAUAAAAGCAACACGCGGAAGUCCUACAGAAAAAGGCCACCAAGACAGAACAAACAAAUCAACAAAGACAACAGAACAAACAAGAGAACAAACAAAACAGAAAAGAGAAAAACAAAAAAAAAGGAAAAAAACCCUCCUGACAGACAGACGGACUGUCCAUGAAGCCAAGAUAAGAAGUCAAAGAAACUUACUGAAGUCAAGAUGAAGUCACUAGUUCCUGCGCUUCUCUCCUGUGCUUGGGUUCUCGCCUUCUGUUUCUCAAUGGUUGAGGGUCGAAUGUUCCUGAACAAUCUCUUCGGCAGACCAAGAAGCGAGGGACCGGAGAGAUGUCCUUGUUGUAAGUAAAGUGUUUUUGUUCCUGUUGAAAGAAAUAUUCGAUAAAAAGGAGUAGAUUUUAUGUUGAAAGAGUGAUUAAAAAGAGAUUCAAUAAGGAAUAUAGCCAAGGAGGAAGUGGCAACUCCUGGCCUUCUUUGUGGAGAUUUAUUGGUAAAUAUUUAUUUGAAAUGCUUAUUAUUCUCCUAUGUGUUAGACAAUUUUAAGAUCUCUUCACUUAUAUUCACUCUGAAUUUCGUUUUCUCUCAUUGCCUGAGGAAAUUUCUGAGUUAUUUUCACAGUCUUAUUUGCACCGCUAAAUUAACAUAUUUUCUCUAUUUUUAUCCAUUAGUUUGAUUUUGUCCUAUUUUCUUUUGUUUUCUCUCCUUGUGUUUCCUAUCUCUAGGCUUUCUAUUAUUUCAAAAAAUGUAUAUUGGAAAAAGUGCAAAGACCUUUAAAGGAAAAAUAACUUGAGGUUAAACAAAAUUCUGAUGACAUAAAUCAGACCAUUUUGAUAAAAGACG
rnacentral:lncRNA from 1 species